AAGGCAUGGGCAGAGUGAGGGGGCAGGGCCCAGGACUCACUGCACCAUGCUGACCUGGAGCCUUUACCCCAGGGUUCUGAAUCCUGGCCCUGAGCACCUAAGGUGCCCCAGAGCUAGGCACUGCCAGAAGCAGCAUCCAUGAUGGAGGGAGCAGGAGAUGACCGCUGUGCCCACCCAGAUUAGAAGAGGUGACCAGGAACAUAUGCGAGAGGUGCUGGAUUGAUUCCUAAGUGGUUUUGGCUUCCCUACCAUUGCCCAUCAGGCCUCGGGAGAUUGGAGGACCGUGUUUGCUGAUCUUCACUGGCCCCCAGGGUGGGAGACCUCUCCCCAACUCACUCUGUCGUGACCCUUGAUGAGCCUAGGUGCCCUCAUUCUCUGUACCUCACUUAUGGCAGUCUCUCAAAGCAUCUCCAGCCCCAGAGUGUGGUAUGGAUACAUUUAUAUAGACUGAUCAUCUGUUAAGCCUCUUGUGGGCAGCCUGGUACCAUGGAUAGCGCCCCGGAGACCUGGGUUUGCGCUCCACUGCUAACUCAGGACCUCAGGCAAGUGGCUCCCCUUCUCCGGGAAUUAGCGACAGAAAUGAGACUCUAGGGGUCCUGGCUUCCGGGCCCCAGGCCCUUGACCUUACUCUGCCUCUCCACUGAUUAACUGGAGGGUGUUCAGGGGAGGCAAGCAGGAUAGGGAGGGGCAUAGGACAAUUGGCUUGAAGGAAGUGGGCAUGUGUAGUUUGGGGAAGGGC